rnacentral:rRNA from 1 species
GGGGAAUAACUGUUGGAAACGACAGCUAAUACCGCAUAAUAUUGCUGGAUAAUUUCCAGUAAUGAAAGGAGCUUUCAAGCUCCGCUGAUUGAUGAGGAUGCGGCGCAUUAGCUAGUUGGUAGGGUAAUGGCCUACCAAGGCAAUGAUGCGUAGCCGAUCUGAGAGGAUGAACGGCCACAUUGGGACUGAGACACGGCCCAAACUUCUACGGAAGGCAGCAGUAGGGAAUUUUUCACAAUGGGCGAAAGCCUGAUGGAGCAAUGCCGCGUGACUGAUGAAGGUCUUCGGAUUGUAAAGGUCUGUUGUAAGGGAAGAAAUGGUAAAACAGGAAAUGGUUUUAUCUAUGACGGUACCUUACCAGAAAGCCACGGCUAACUAUGUGCCAGCAGCCGCGGUAAUACAUAGGUGGCAAGCGUUAUCCGGAUUUAUUGGGCGUAAAGGGUGCGUAGACGGUUUUGCAAGUCUGAGGUUAAAUUUAGGAGCUCAACUCCUAAUCGCCUUGGAAACUACAAGACUAGAGUAUAGGAGAGGUUAGUGGAAUUCCAUGUGUAGCGGUGGAAUGUGUAGAUAUAUGGAGGAACACCAGUGGCGAA